CACGCAGGCAGGAACGAGCGAGGCCUCCAGGUCCAGGGUGCCCACCUCUCUUUCUCUCUCGCCUCCCACCCUCACCCUCCCGAUCUGGUCGCCGCCCACCCUCACCCUCCCGAUCUCGUGAGUUGCAGGGGAAAUCGGUCUCCAGAAUCGCCACCACCGAUGCCGCUCGGUUCCCCUCCGUAACCUGCCACUUGCGACGGACCAAGGUCGCCGAUGUGGGCUCGACGCAGCCGCCCGGAGCUACUUCGCCCUCGACGUCGAGGAGGGCGUGGGCUGAUCGAGCUCCCGGCCGCCCUGCUCCUCUACAAACUAUCUCUAUCCUCAGUCGUAGGCUCCUCGUGCUUUAUCCCCUGCGCCGCCACCCAAUGGUCUCCGCCAGCGCCGCGUGCCCCCAAGAAAAUGGCGGCCUUGGAUGAAAACGUGCGACUCGAUCAACCUUGAGAAGAUCCCCAUCAACGCGGACUCCCCUAUGGAAACCAACAACGAGAAGAAGCGGCUCGCCGAGAUAUGCCAUGUCGACUUCUCCUUUUGUCAUCAAUGGAGGCACCACGAAGGCCAAGAAGAAGGCCCCAAUAGCCCUAGCCAUGGCAGGGCCUCAUGUAGAGCCUGAAGACCAAACCAACGAUCAAUGUGUGCUGAGAAUGACAACAAUAUGCACCACAUUUGCAGUCUUAACUACAUGGUAAGCUUUACUAAACUGAAACUUGUCCAAACGUUUGCAACCAAUGUUGGAAAAAUUUAUCAGGUUGCAGUUUUGCGGCCGUGUCGAAUCGCUUUUAUACUUAAUACUUUUGAUGGGUCGUACAAGCUGGUUGAACUGCCACUGUUUGCUACAACCUACAAAUAUACAGAUCUUCAAUAUAUGACUCACUAUAUAUGAACUUCUCCGUGCAUAAAUUGUGUUUUUAGACGAUUCACUGUAGAAAUUGGUGUGCUAUAACAGUGAGACUGUUCUAUAUAUUGCUAUCCAG